GACCGGUUUAACCGCGAACCGGUGCCUUUGACGGUUUGGUUCAAUAUCAAAAACCGCCAGAAUUAAAACCGCUUUCAAACCGCUGAACCGGCCGAGAACCGGUCGGUCAGACCGAACCGGGACCCGGCCGGUUUUGAAAAACGGCGCCGUUUUUUCGUUCUGAUAGAAAAUGAAAUGGCCAAGUCUCCUUAGCAUCUACCCCUCGAGCCAUUCUUCAAUCUUUCUCCCCAAAACACAACCCUAGAUCCCCCACCGCCACAGGGCUCAGCCCCGCCGUUUGUUGCUCUCAAGCACCACCGUGUUUUUGUCCGAUCGUCCGCGCUUCUCCCUCAUUCGGAAAUCGGUGCGUCUUCCUCGAGCUCGCCGUCAUUCGCUGCCUUGCUGGUCUUCGUCUGCUCAAACCGUAGCCUCCAUCACUCUCCUCUUCAAGCUGUGUCACCGCCGCCGUGGAAUCUGGUCCAACCGUUGUCCCUACUGUUUCAGCGUCGUCACAGCUCGUCUCUGCCGUCGCGUCGCAUAUGCUCCACUCUCCUCUGCCGUCGUGUCGCACUGCGAAGGGGAAAGAAAGGGUGGAGGUCGUGGGAGGAGGCGCGCGAAGGGUGAAGCCUUUGCUGCUUCCGCCGUGUUUGAGCUCGAAGACGGCCGCCAGUGUUGCUGCCUCUGUCGUGCCUUCCCAUCAUGUUACCACUGAUUUCAUCUGCCCUCAUCCUUAUUCUACUUCAAAAUCAUGCUAAAUUUAUUCAUCCCUCUCAUCAUUAUCAUUGGCAUGAACUCCGAACCAAAACCCCAACUCUCUGGAUAAAAUUGUAACGAAAGCUGAUUGGGACUUUUUCUUCUACUUAAGGUAUGAAUCAGAAUGAUGAGGCCAAGUUGUGAAUACACAAGUGUCAACGGACUAUAAUAUAUAGAGUUUGUGACAUUAGAAGGGUGUAAUAAUAACAAUAAUGGAGUCAUGUUAUUUGAAUAUUGAGGUUUAACAUUUAAACUCUCAGCUUCUCAGCCCUGUUUGAUUCUUCAUCCCAGGCAAUUGAAUCAAAUCAACCAGGCCUUCAUUUUCUUUUUCUCUUAGUUGAUUCUUAAUUUUUCUAAUAUCUGUAGCUUUUUGAAUCAAGUGGAUCAGAUUAUGUAGUUUUCUUGAUUUGGGAUAUUUUC